UACGGAGGGUGCAAGCGUUAAUCGGAAUUACUGGGCGUAAAGCGUGCGCAGGCGGCUUUGCAAGACAGAUGUGAAAUCCCCCGGGCUCAACCUGGGAACUGCAUCUGUGACUGCAUCGCUGGAGUGCGGCAGAGGGGGGGAUGGAAUUCCGCGUGUAGCAGUGAAAUGCGUAGAUAUGCGGAGGAACACCGAUGGCGAAGGCAAUCCCCCUGGGCCUGCACUGACGCUCAUGCACGAAAGCGUGGGGAACAAACAGG
rnacentral:rRNA from 1 species